UACGUAGGGUGCAAGCGUUGUCCGGAAUUAUUGGGCGUAAAGAGCUCGUAGGCGGUUUGUCGCGUCUGCUGUGAAAACCCGAGGCUCAACCUCGGGCCUGCAGUGGGUACGGGCAGACUAGAGUGCGGUAGGGAGAUUGGAAUUCCUGGUGUAGCGGUGGAAUGCGCAGAUAUCAGGAGGAACACCAAUGGCGAAGGCAGAUCUCUGGGCCGUAACUGACGCUGAGGAGCGAAAGCAUGGGGAGCGAACAGG
rnacentral:rRNA from 1 species